AUUGAACGCUGGCGGCAGGCCUAACACAUGCAAGUCGAACGAGUGGCGGACGGGUGAGUAAUGUCUGGGAAACUGCCCGAUGGCGGGGGAUAACUACUGGAAACUGUAGCUAACACCGCAAACCAUCGGAUGUGCCCAGAUGGGAUUAGCUAGUAGGUGGGGUAACGGCUCACCGAGGCGAAGAUCAAUAGCUGGUCUGAGAGGAAGGCCCGCCACACUGGAACUUAGACACGGUCCAGACUCCUACGGGAGGCAGCAGUGGGGAAGAGUGCACAAUGGGCGCAAGCCUGAUGCAGCCAUGCCGCGUGUAUGAAGAAGGCCUUCGGGUUGUAAAGUACUUUCAGCGAGGAGGCGUUACUCGCAGAAGAAGCACCGGCUAACUCCGUGCCAGCAGCCGCGGUAAUAC
rnacentral:rRNA from 1 species